rnacentral:rRNA from 1 species
UACGUAGGGCGCAAGCGUUGUCCGGAAUUAUUGGGCGUAAAGAGCUCGUAGGCGGUUUGUCGCGUCUGGUGUGAAAACUCGAGGCUCAACCUCGAGCUUGCAUCAGGUACGGGCAGACUAGAGUGCGGUAGGGGAGACUGGAAUUCCUGGUGUAGCGGUGGAAUGCGCAGAUAUCAGGAGGAACACCGAUGGCGAAGGCAGGUCUCUGGGCCGCAACUGACGCUGAGAAGCGAAAGCAUGGGGAGCGAACAGG